rnacentral:rRNA from 1 species
UACGUAGGUGGCAAGCGUUGUCCGGAUUUAUUGGGUUUAAAGGGUGCGUAGGCGGCCCUGUAAGUCAGUGCUGAAAUAUCCCGGCUUAACCGGGAGGGUGGCAUUGAUACUGCGGGGCUAGAGUACAGAUGAGGUAGGCGGAAUUGACGGUGUAGCGGUGAAAUGCUUAGAUAUCGUCAAGAACACCUAUAGCGAAGGCAGCUUACUAGGCUGUAACUGACGUGAGGCACGAAAAGUGUGGGGAUCAAACAGG